GGGAUAAAUCAUCCAUACACUCAUCACUCAAAAAAUCUACUUGAACCAAUGACAAGUACUUCAGGGAUUGGUAUGCACACAACAACUUAGAAAUACCAGAAUAUGUGAAAUCUGUACACCAACAAAGUGUAAGUGUAUUUAGAGGGAGAGAAGCAUUGGCCACCAUGAAGAGGAAUUCAUCCGUUAUAAUGGAAUUGGAAACUUCUAGUUUCUGUAAAGUUCGGCUAGAAGUAGCCAAACAUUCAAAACCAGAACUAGAUUGGGCAAUAUGAAUCUCAGACACUGAAAUCCAACUCAAAGCAGCACAAGUCCGCAGUAUAGAAAGGAUCCCUUUUACGGUAAUAAAAGGGCAAUCAUCCAUCUCAAGUCCUUCCAAAUUCAAACAAUUCAUAGAAAGCGCAACAAGCGACCUAUCAGUAAUCAAAUGAUUCCCAGAAAUAUUGAUCUUACGCAAAUUACUCAUAUUCACAGA
rnacentral:misc_RNA from 1 species